CCCGCUGAACUUAAGCAUAUCAAUAAGCGGAGGAAAAGAAACCAACAGGGAUUGCCCUAGUAACGGCGAGUGAAGCGGCAACAGCUCAAAUUUGAAAUCUGGCGUCUUUGGCGUCCGAGUUGUAAUUUGCAGAGGGCGCUUUGGCAUUGGCAGCGGUCCAAGUUCCUUGGAACAGGACGUCACAGAGGGUGAGAAUCCCGUACGUGGUCGCUAGCCUUUACCGUGUAAAGCCCCUUCGACGAGUCGAGUUGUUUGGGAAUGCAGCUCUAAAUGGGAGGUAAAUUUCUUCUAAAGCUAAAUACUGGCCAGAGACCGAUAGCGCACAAGUAGAGUGAUCGAAAGAUGAAAAGCACUUUGGAAAGAGAGUUAAAAAGCACGUGAAAUUGUUGAAAGGGAAGCGCUUGCAGCCAGACUUGCCUGUAGUUGCUCAUCCGGGUUUCUACCCGGUGCACUCUUCUACAGGCAGGCCAGCAUCAGUUUGGGCGGUUGGAUAAAGGUCUCUGUCAUGUACCUCUCUUCGGGGAGAACUUAUAGGGGAGACGACAUGCAACCAGCCUGGACUGAGGUCCGCGCAUCUGCUAGGAUGCUGGCGUAAUGGCUGUAAGCGGCCCGUCUUGAAACACGGACCAAGGAGUCUAACAUCUAUGCGAGUGUUUGGGUGUCAAGCCCGAGCGCGUAAUGAAAGUGAACGGAGGUGGGAACCUUUCGGGGUGCACCAUCGACCGAUCCUGAUGUCUUCGGAUGGAUUUGAGUAAGAGCAUAGCUGUUGGGACCCGAAAGAUGGUGAACUAUGCUUGAAUAGGGUGAAGCCAGAGGAAACUCUGGUGGAGGCUCGCAGCGGUUCUGACGUGCAAAUCGAUCGUCAAAUUUGGGCAUAGGGGCGAAAGACUAAUCGAACUAUCUAGUAGCUGGUUCCUGCC
rnacentral:rRNA from 2 species